ensembl:lncRNA
CUCUGAAGUAUGAAUGACUAACCAGGGAGGGAAAAAGGCACAAGGCUUAAGACCACCGUAGUAGCAACGUACACAGGUAACUCCCUGUGCAGCAAAGGGAGGGGAGUAUGGAGCUGGCCCAGAAGUGCAGCCCAGCUAAAGCGUGCAUGGCGUUCCUGCAGAGAUGGGGAGUCCUGAGGAGAAGCUGUGAAGGUCACAGGAGAAAGAGACAGAGGGCUGACCGAGCAGCUGGGCUGGGGCGCUCCUGAUGGCGAGAAUCACAGAAUGACCCGGGUUGGAAGGGACCUCAAGGAUCAUGUAGUUCCAACCCCCCUGCCUGGCAGGGCCACCAAACAUACACAUUUACUAGAUCAGGUUGCCCAGGGCCCCGUCCAACCUGGUCUUGAACACCUCCAAGGACGGGGCAUCCACAACCUCCCUGGGCAGCCUGUUCCAGGGCCUAACCACUCUCCUAGUGAAGAACUUCCCCUAAUGUCCAACCUAAAUCUUCCAUCUUUUAACUUAAAACCAUUUCCCCGUGUCCUGCUAUUGUCAGCCCUUUCGAAGAGUUUACUCCCCUCUCUGGGUAAGUUUCCUUCAGGUACUGAAAGGCUGAAUGAGGGUCACCUUCGCAACCUUCUCUUUCUCCAGGCUGAACAAACCCCACUCCUCAGCCUGUCCUCAUAGGGGAGGUCUCCAGCCCCCUGAUCAUUUUCAUGUCCUCCUUCUCUCGGCCCUCUCCAAAUUCCAUGGUCUUUUGUACUGAGGGCUCCACACCUGGACACAGUACUCCAGAUGGGGCCUCACAAGAGCAGAGUAGAGAGGGACGAUCACCUCCCUAUUCUCACCCCUCCUUCGGCCCGGCUCCCCUCAGCCCUGGCCCUGCAAUGCCGCCCCGCUCCGUGCUGGGCCCGCCCCACCACCGGCCGUGGGCGGCGCCGUGCGGCUGAGCUCAGCGCGUCGGGAAACCGCCGGGGCCGCCUCCUCGGCGGGCAGCACCGCCCCUCAAGCCGCGCACACACUCCCCACACACACACACACACAUACACGGCCGCUUCCUGCGUGGGGCCGGACCCGGCGGGCGGAGCGGCGCCGCUUCCUCCCUCCCUCUCUCCCGCCCGCCGCCGCCUCGCAGGUACCGGGGGUCGGGGCGGGGGGUGCGGGAGCCCUGCGGCGGGUGGGCGGCCUCCCCUCGGGCCUCCUGCCGGGGCCGGCAGCCGCCGCCCCGAGCGCGGCGGAGGGAAAGGUGGAGCGGAGCGGGGCUUCCGAGCCGGGGCCGCCCGUGGGCGGGGGCCCGAGCCCGGCGGGGCGAGGGGUCGGGCGGGGAGCGGCCGGGGAGCGGCGGCCGAGGGGCGUCUGAGGGCGGGGGGCGGCAGCGGCUCCUCGCAUUGCUGCCGGGUGAAGUCAUCGCGCCCAUUGUCUCCCCUCGGUUCCCCCCCGGGCGGGGCGAGGAGCCCGGCCCGCCCCGAGGAGGAGGAAGGCGAAGAGGAGGCGAACAGGAGGGGGCCCGGCCCCCGCUCCCCGCCGGGUGGCUGUGAAAGCUUGGCAGCCUGGGAUGGAAUUGCUCUAACAAGUGUCAGCUUCGGCAGAAGCCAUCCAGCCUGCUCCAGGGGGAUUUUACCUCUACUCCAGUAA